GACGUUUCCAUAGAUACGAAACAGCGCUUUGCUAGUGUUGUCAAAAUGCAGCCUGGAUUAAAAACACAACAGCUUCUGCGACCACCUACCUACACCUGAGUACACAAACAAGGACCCACUGCAGAGAUGUCUCAGUUGUCAGCUGAAGAUGAGGUGGAGUUACAAUCCCUGCUCAAGCAGCUUCUGAGAAGCAUCAACGACAGGAUCUCCAACGCUCCGUCAACCGAAUGUGCUGAAGACAUCCUGCUUCACCUGGAGGAGACCGACAAGAACUUCCAUAAUUAUGAGUUUGUGAAGUACCUCCGUCAGUACAUGGAGAGCUCUCUUGGGACUGUGAUAGAAGAAGAGACUAAGAGCUUGACCAAAGGAG